GUGUCAGCAGCCGCGGUAAUACGGAGGGGGCUAGCGUUGUUCGGAAUUACUGGGCGUAAAGCGCGCGUAGGCGGUUUGCCAAGUCAGAGGUGAAAGCCCGGGGCUUAACCUCGGAAUUGCCUUUGAGACUGGCAGGCUUGAGUACGGGAGAGGUAAGUGGAAUUCCGAGUGUAGAGGUGAAAUUCGUAGAUAUUCGGAAGAACACCAGUGGCGAAGGCGGCUUACUGGACCGUUACUGACGCUGAGGCGCGAAAGCGUGGGGAGCAAACAGGAUUAGAUACCCUGGUAGUCCACGCCGUAAACGAUGGGUGCUAGAUGUUGGGGGCCUUUGGCUUCCGGUGUCGCAGCUAACGCGUUAAGCACCCCGCCUGGGGAGUACGGCCGCAAGGCUAAAACUCAAAGGAAUUGACGGGG
rnacentral:rRNA from 1 species